AGGUGGGGAAAGAUGCCUUCUCCGUCUUUUAACCUCGAUGCUCAGAGCCCAUUUCAUGACAAAUGGCUCAAGAUAGACUUACAGCAUGCACACGGCCAAAGCUUCCAAGACAACGGAGCAGCUGUCCGACGAAAGCAGCCAUGACGACACAGAGGAGGAGAUUCCGUUCGGCCGGCAGCUCGAAACCGGGCCUCCGUGGGUCGCGCAGCAAAACCUGAGGAGAAAUAAAGGCGCCGCCUCAUCCGCGAGAAGGGAAUCGGACCGAGAGCUGCAGGCUUUCAUCAGCAUGAGGAAUCAGGUUGACAAGGCCACAGAGGAAUGGGAACAGCUGAAUUAUGACAUCCAUACGUUACGCUACACCAGACGAGAAGUGAGAGCACGAUGGAAGAAAAUCCUGCUGCAAAUGGGGGGUCUCUUCCUGCAGGUUAUCAGUCUGAGGCGGAUGCCUUGUUGGACGUCAACAAGCAAAGUUACUUCAAUCGAGAGCAGGAGGGUCUCGCCCGAGCUACUGAACUCUUGACCCAGUUGUUGGAACACACUUCCUUGUUUCCUGUUGGAACAGGACAUCGAACCUGAUAUCUCUGUGUCAUGGAUCGCCUGGUGUCCCUGGACAGCGCUGAAGACUUUGUCAGACUGGCUGUGGAAAAAUAUCCCAAGAGACAAGAUGGCUGAAACACAGCACAUGAUUUGUGUUAAUGGAUGCAUUGAUCGACUGUUUUGUACUGUGAUGUAUAUUGUGUAAUUUUGUUAUUUUUGUUUUUCAAGUGUGUUUUCUAUUGGACUUGGUAAUUUAAUUGGUAAUAUUGGUAAAUAUAUUGAAUCCAG